rnacentral:rRNA from 1 species
AUUGAACGCUGGCGGAAUGCUUUACACAUGCAAGUCGAGCGGCAGCACGGGGGCAACCCUGGUGGCGAGCGGCGAACGGGUGAGUAAUACAUCGGAACAUGCCCAGUCGUGGGGGAUAACACUUCGAAAGAAGUGCUAAUACCGCAUACGUCCUGAGGGAGAAAGCGGGGGAUCUUCGGACCUCGCGCGAUUGGAGUGGCCGAUGUCAGAGUAGCUAGUUGGUGGGGUAAAGGCCUACCAAGGCAACGAUCUGUAGCUGGUCUGAGAGGAUGAUCAGCCACACUGGGACUGAGACACGGCCCAGACUCCUACGGGAGGCAGCAGUGGGGAAUUUUGGACAAUGGGGGCAACCCUGAUCCAGCCAUUCCGCGUGAGUGAAGAAGGCCUUCGGGUUGUAAAGCUCUUUCGGCAGGAACGAAACGGUGAGCUCUAACAUAGCUUGCUAAUGACGGUACCUGAAGAAGAAGCACCGGCUAACUACGUGCCAGCAGCCGCCGUAAGAC